rnacentral:sRNA from 1 species
UUCUGGGCUCUGAGCCACUUGAAUGGAACGGGUCUUUGGACAACCUGGCUACAAUCUUGAGGCCUUCUCCUACGUACCUUCAGGACAGGAUGGUGUCCACCUGUGAGGCUUUUCCCUCACAGACAGCCCAGUUCCUACCUACCAUUGGCACUACAGACAGGGUCCCCAUCUUCUGCCCCACACAAGGCCCACGCCCCUGGGUUUGAGGAAGUGCCUGAUCAAAACUACUUAAAAUGACCAGAAAUAGUCCAAGGCCAGGACAAAGCACCUAAAGAAGCAGAGAGAACGAGAAGCCGGCCCCCAGUGACGUACGUCUUCCAGCCAGGCUGCAUCUUCUCAAGGCUCCAUAGCCUCUCCAAACACUGCCACCAACUGGGAAACCACAUGUUCAAACACAUGAGCCCAUGGCAAACAUUCCGCAUUCAAAUGGCUGCAGUCGCCCUGCCAGGCAAGGGCCAUCAAAGUCCACAUCACCAGUGACGAGUCAGACUGAUGAGGUGGCCGCAGUGGGACGACAGUGGUGUGCUACCUCUGUUCCUCCUCUCAGGAGCGCAAGACCCCACCAGGAGGGACAGGCUGGACAAGCUCCACGGAGGGCUAUCCAGCACAACUCGGACUGUCAAAGGACAAUUUCUGCAGAGAGUCUGUCACCUCCAAGAGGAGCCCCAAGAACCCUGAUGCCUCAGGGCCAGGCAUGGUCCUGAGCCAGAAAGGCAGGGAUAAGCCUAUCCAAGGCACAUCAGGAGCCACCCGAUGAUCUCAUUCACCAGAGAGAGAGGAGGAAGAAGGUCCUCAAGAAGGCUUGACAGAGCAGAAGACACCACUGAGGCCGCACAUGUGAGUCUGCUACCACAAAGGCGUUUAGACAUGGCCGUCUCU